rnacentral:rRNA from 1 species
UACAGAGGGUGCAAGCGUUAAUCGGAAUUACUGGGCGUAAAGCGUGCGUAGACGGUAGCGUAAGUCGGGUGUGAAAGCCCCGGGCUCAACCUGGGAAUUGCAUUCGAGACUGCUCUGCUAGGGUGCGGAAGAGGGAAGCGGAAUUUCCGGUGUAGCGGUGAAAUGCGUAGAUAUCGGAAGGAACACCAGUGGCGAAGGCGGCCUUCUGGCUUGUAACUGACGCUGUAGCGCGAAAGCGUGGGGAGCGAACCGG